CCAGAGUUUUACAACUCCCAACCCUUCUGUGAACCUACCCAUAGUUGCUUCGGCGGACCCGCCCCAGCGUCCGGACGGCCCAGCGCCGGCCCGCGACCUGGACCCAGGCGGCCGCCGGGGACCACGCAACCCUGUAUCUGUCAGCCUCUCUGAAUCCGCCGCAAGGCAACACAAACGAAUCA
rnacentral:misc_RNA from 1 species